rnacentral:rRNA from 1 species
GAUGAACGCUGGCGGUAUGCUUAACACAUGCAAGUCGAACGGACUCUUCGGAGUUAGUGGCGGACGGGUGAGUAACGCGUGAGAAUCUGGCUUUGGGUUCGGGACAACCACUGGAAACGGUGGCUAAUACCGGAUGUGCCGAGAGGUAAAAGAGAAAUUGCCUGAAGAUGAGCUCGCGUCUGAUUAGCUAGUUGGUGAGGUAAAGGCUCACCAAGGCAGCGAUCAGUAGCUGGUCUGAGAGGAUGACCAGCCACACUGGGACUGAGACACGGCCCAGACUCCUACGGGAGGCAGCAGUGGGGAAUUUUCCGCAAUGGGCGAAAGCCUGACGGAGCAGUACCGCGUGAGGGAAGAAGGCUCUUGGGUUGUAAACCUCUUUUCUUAGGGAAGAACAAAAUGACGGUACCUAAGGAAGCAGCAUCGGCUAACUCCGUG